ACUCGGGCACGAUCCUUUCACGCUCCCAGUUGUCAUCGGGCGCCGUCAUAGCGACGGCGCGCGAUAGUGCGAAUAGGGAAGCGUUGCGGAAGGAACCGACCCGUAGUUCAACCCUGAGGGA
rfam:Corynebacterium aurimucosum ATCC 700975, complete genome.